AUUUACAGUGGACGUAGUGGUGCGCAGCAGGUGGUAGACUAGGUAUUUCCAUAAAUACACUAUGUUUACAGAAUUGCGGCCAGUGGAGCAACAUAGCUGAUGAGUUAAUAGCACUAGUUCUUCAGACAAAUAACUUAAUUUUCAACCUAUAAAGCAUAUUUAGCUGUAGGUGGGGCCAUUUAGCUGUAAGAUCUGGCUUUUGUUCUGUUAAGCCCUUAGUGUAAUGGAUUUCAGAGUGAAGACCAUAGCGCCUUUUCCUAGUCAAGUAUCGGGCAGCUGUAUGUCUUUUCAGAAAUGCACAUGUCUUCUUAAGCAUGUCAUUGUGUUUGCUUUUAAUAAGAUAGGCAAUAAACUCAUAACCUUUAGACAAAUUAGCAUCUGUAAAUUCAGAUUUCACUAUUUCAGAGUCAGCCAGACCAUGAUUGAGCUUAAGGAUUGUGCUGCGGAUGCAGCCUGUGCAGUUCCGGGAGAAAGUCACUGUGUUGGGCAAUGCGGUCUGGUAUCAGGUCUAGAUGAUCCUUGCCUGACUGCGGGUUUGUGUACACCUCAAUCCCACUCUGUGUCCUGAACAGAGGCCGCAGUGGUGCAGCGCUUGUGGACGAUCCACCAACAUCCUGAAAGGUCAACACUACACCAAGCUGGGAAAAUUGAUCCUGAUAGUCAUCCCCAGGUAGUGGAAUGAAUGUACACUGAACUACAGAGGAAUCAAACCCAAAUGACUUUCCUGCCACGACAUUAGUGUGGCCACUCGCGUAGGAAUUCCUUAGCAAACGUGCUCUUUUGCAUGGUGACUGUGGGCAUUUUUGCAAAACUUACGCUUUCAACACUGGAUUUUAAAGGGAAUACUUAAUAAAAUGUCGCUAACAGGACUUAUUUAUAUGAGAGAGACUAUCUGGAUGCGCAUUAAGUGUCACUUUGUGUCUUAAGCUGUUGAAGGAGCGAUUUGCGCCUUUUUAAGUGUUAAUUUUUGGUAGCCGGCUUGUAUCGGCUUGAAAGCUGCAAAUUAUGCCUCUCAUCAUAAUAGCAUUAAUUUUUGUAAAUGCCAUGUGUAUGUUUAGAUUGUAAGUGAAGCUUUUAAUAAGAAUUUUCUUUAAAAACAUGAUUUUA